CAAAGUAGCCACAAUGGCGCAUUUUUUUGUGGAAAUACGUUAAAAUAGUGGUGUUUAUUUGCAUGACCCUAAAUGCAUGAGAUGAGAUGGCCACUGACCAGUCGAGGCUAUUGAUGCGACACGUCACGUCAGUAUUGAUUCUUAAGAGUACCUUACAUUAGACACUAACAGUGUGUUUCAAUACAAAAUUCGGGUCGAUAGUAUUUACCAUUAAUUAAUUUCCCUUUGAUUAAUGAUCGGUUUAGUUUAUUAUGGCGAUUAUGGUUUGAACAUUCUCGUGAAAGUGUAAUUUUCUAGCGCGUAACAAAUCUAUUUAUUUUUUCACAAAAUAAUUGAGAAAGCAGUCUAUGUAGGUACUAAGGGCCAGUAUGACCGGUAAUUUCAUACCUUUUAAACUGCCGCCGCCACUGUGCUACAAAAAAGGUACUAAGAAGGUCAAUGAUACUAUCACCGACACGAAUUCACCCGGUUGACAUUUAUCGUAAAACUAGGAAUGCGAUGUUAAAAUACAUUUUAAAAAUAGAUUAUUUACCUGUA